rnacentral:rRNA from 1 species
CAAUAGCGUAUAUUAAAGUUGUUGCAGUUAGAACGCUCGUAGUCGGAUUUCGGGGCGGGCCGACCGGUCUGCCGAUGGGUAUGCACUGGUCGGCGCGUCCUUCCUUCCGGAGACCGUCCCUACUCUUAACUGAGCGGGGGCGGGAGACGGGACUUUUACUUUGAAAAAAUCAGAGUGUUUCAAGCAGGCAACUCGCUCUUGCAUGGAUUAGCAUGGGAUAAUGAAAUAGGACUUUGGUGCUAUUUUGUUGGUUUCGAACACCGAAGUAAUGAUGAGAAGGGACAGUCAGGGGCACUCGUAUUCCGCCGAGAGAGGUGAAAUUCUCAGACCAGCGGAAGACGAACCACUGCGAAAGCAUUUGCCAGGGAUGUUUUCACUG